GGAAGCCACAAAUGAGGGUUAAACAGUAAGAAUUUAAAUAUGGAGACCAAACAAAAAUUAUCGCACCUCGAGAGUUCUUGUAACUGUUAAUUAUGUCACAGAGAGGAUGUCAAAGAAAGAAAAAUAAAAUCGUGCAAGGAAUGGCCACAUAAAACCUUCAGUUCCUCGAGCCCUGAUGAUUGGUUUCACACCUUUGUCACAUUUGGACCUCCAUCGUAAGGCCUGUCUAAUCUAGAUGGCAAAAAUUCGGGUGGCAAUGAUGCAAAUCCAAGCAUCAAAAUCUACUGCAGUCGUCAAGCUGUUUUUACUUUUCGGGAAGGAGGGCGUCUAAAUAGACCGAUCAGAUCAUCGAGACCCCUGGUUGUGAUCACGAGGAAACAGAAGAGUAAAACUAAAUACGACCCCAAUACCAAAAGCAAAAGCAAGUCGAAUGUCACACUAGCAACCUGGUAUAUGUGAAGUUUAGCUGCAGUUGAAUCAUAAAAGGUGAACAUUCCGUCAAAUACUUCAUGUUGCAAGCUCACAUCAUGGGUAUGGACCUCCAGUUCCUUUUUUAAUGCUGAUAUGAAAG
rnacentral:misc_RNA from 1 species